rnacentral:lncRNA from 1 species
CAGGUAUUUGUCUUUUACAACCUAGUAAGCUCGAGCUCUUGCAAGUGGAAACUCAUCCAGAUAAAACUGGGAACUACAAUAGUACCGCACAGGACUAGCAUCAGGGUGUGGAUAUCACAAACUGAUAAUAGCUGCAUACUCAACUGAUAGAUGUAACGAGGAGAUAUUCAACCAAUAACCACAAAUCUCUCAAGUGAAACUGAGAGUAACAGCAUCAGAUAUAUUCCUGCUGAAUGUGUUCGAUACCACCUGAAAUAAAAGAGAUCCAAGAUUGCAUUAAUUUAGAUGUUGUUUGUGCAGCUCAUUGG